CUCUAUCUCUCCCAGAACUUACACAAAAUAUGAAUGAUUCUAAUCCGUUUCAUCAAUAUUCUCGAACUUCAAGUUACAAUACUCUUAUUCCUUGCUUAACUGAAAACUGGGGUGACUUGCCCUUAAAAGUCGACGAUUCGGAAGAUAUGCUCGUUUACAACAUCCUCCGGGAUGCCGUUUCUUCUGGAUGGUCUCCCUUUGAUUUCACCAUCUCCACCUCCACCACUCAACCAGCAACAACAACCAUUAAACCUGAGCCCAUGGAUGAUUUGGACCUUACCGCUCUGGUUCACCCUCAAGAAGCUGCAUCAACUAUAGCAUUGCUUGAGACUUCUAUUCUUGAAAAUACACCUCAAGCCAUUCGUUUAGCUAAAACCCAUAAUAAGAAGGUGUCCAGAGGAAAGCAUUACAGGGGAGUCAGGCAGCGACCUUGGGGAAAGUUCGCCGCCGAGAUACGAGAUCCGGCUAAAAAUGGCGCCAGAGUAUGGCUCCGCACCUACGAGACGGCUGAGGAAGCCGCUUUGGCUUACGAUAGAGCAGCCUUUAGGAUGCGCGGCUCAAGGGCUAUGCUCAAUUUUCCACAUAGGAUUGGCUCCAAUGAACCAGAGCCGGUCAGAAUCACUGCGAAGCGUCGUGAACCGGAGUUGGAGAUGGCUGUGUCUUCUAAGAGGAGAAAAAGGUCGGUGGCUAAUCAAGCUGAGAUGGGAAGGGAGAGAGGAUACGGCGUAGUGCACCAAAUUGGGCUGAUGCCAGUUGGCGAGCAAUUAUUGGUUAGUUAAUAUUGAGUUGGAGACAUUGACCUACACGUCGUCGUCGCGUGGUGGGAAAGGCCCGAACGAGCCUAUGAGUGUUUGAUUGUGUCGUUGUGUGACUUUUGUACAGAAUGAGUUUUUUGAGUAAUAAACUUGACCACCC
rnacentral:misc_RNA from 1 species